ACUAUGAUGCUCAGGGCCAAAACCCGAGAUGGGAACGCCUGGAUCGUGGAGCAAUCAAAGAUUUAGCUAAGGCCAUUCGGGACAAUGGGUUGUCAUCACCAUAUUUCAAACAGAUGUUGAAAAGUAUUUUUGGCAUGUAUGAUUUAACACCAUAUGAUCUUAAAUAUCUCGCAACAUCAGUUCUUACAGACACCCAAGCUCUCAUUUGGCAGAAGGCGUGGCGGAGAUCCCUGGAGGAGCUGAGAGCCAGAUACCAAGGCGGGCCAAACGCGAACCUCACCAUGGUGCAGCUUGCCGGUGAUCCUCCUGAGGACGAUCCAACUCAGCAGGCGGUGAGACUCCCACGGCACGUGCUCAGCAACAUCAAAGAGGCGGCACGGAGAGCAAUUCUUCAGAUUGCUCCGGCGGGGGUCCAGGACAACAUCUACACCGAGAUCAAGCAAGGUUCUUCAGAGCCAUUUUCCUCGUUCGUGGAUCGUCUUUCUCAGGCAGUGGAGCGGCAGGUGACCGAGGAGGGGGCGAAACCACAUCUGACCAAAAGCCUCGCGUUCUCCAAUGCCAACCCAGAGUGCAGGCGAAUUAUCAGCAUGAUGCCACACCAGGCCACCUUGGCGGACAUGAUUGAGGCGUGCAGCAAGGUGGGAACACCACAACAUGUUGCUUCCAUCAUGGAGGAACACUUGGGGGAUCGAAUUGAAAAGCGUGUUAAGGAAGUUCUUGCAAAUUAUGCAAAGGGCAACACCGGUGCAGAGAGACGGUGCUUUGGGUGUGGGGCACAAGGACAUUUUAAAAGGAACUGCCCACAACUUGCAAAGCCCAACAAGCCACCAGACCUCUGUCCUCGAUGCAGGAGAGGGAGACAUCUCGCGAGUGAGUGCCACUCACAGACAGACGUGGAUGGAAAACCUCUUCCGGUUCCGGGAAACGGGAAAAAGAGCGCGAAUCGACGCCAGCGCGCACCGACACAAAUUCUGGCGGUGACACAGAAUCAGCAGGAGCAAUCCUCGGGGAACAACAAACAGAAUCCUUCAGCAGAGCAAUCUCCAAAAUCCCCAGCGACCCAGACUUGGUACCACCCGGAUUCCAACGCGUCCUGGCAACCUCCAAAUUGACGUGUUUUUUGGACAAUAGCCAUGCAGUGAUACCCACAGGUGUCACAGGGACUUCUUGGAAAAGGCAGGAUUUUUUAAUAAUGGCCAGAGACAGAAGCAGCAUUCUUGGACUUGUUGUUUACCCAUCUUUGAUUUCAGCAAACCGUAAUGAGGAGCUGAUGGUCACAGCAAAAGCCUUGCGACCACCUUUGACAAUUCCACAAAAUACACCAAUUGCUCGAGCCAUGGCUUUGCCAUCUCACCCAGAAAGGCAACGAGGACCGAAGUGGGUGUCGGCGAGGCACGUGAAACCUUAUCGGGUGCAGACGCAAGUGGACGUGGACCCGAGGAGCAGAGAAGCAAGCACGCAGACGAAGGCAGACGACGACGCAGACGUCACAUCAGACAACGACUGAUCACCCAGAGACUUGGGGGUUUUCUUUUCCUGAGAAAUCAAGUGUUGUUUGGGUGUUGCUGCAUUGCAGGGUCUCUCACAGAGGGUGGGGGCAUGGACAUGGGAUUCAGGCAGAUAGUGUUCAUGUGCUUCAUUCUCUUGCCUAUUGCCUUGGGCAAUUGGACAGACUUUCCCGUGAAACAACCAAAGGAAAAUGUGUGGGAAACUUUGGCAAAGGCAGCGGGUCUAGACAGCAUUUGUCUGACUCAUUCAAAGCCAGGAAAACCAUUUUCAACAUGUUUAGUAGGUGUGCCAGUGAAGGAAUGGCCAAUUCCAAAAGGCAUCCCUCCAGAGAUUCUGAAAACUUUUUCGGAUCCUGUGGAAGGAUGGCAAGUUUGGACACAGUACCUUCCUGUGGCUCACUUGGAACCUCCAGAAUUGGACAUUUUUGGAUCAACAAAAAUGAAAUGGUGCAUCAAAUUUAAUUCAUCAGGAGUGGCAAAGACAGAUAAUCAUACAAUAGAUGUCACUCCCAAUCAGCCUUUUUAUAAAAAUGCAUCAUCUUGGUGCAAUCACACAAAAAUAACAAGCAAACCAUCCCUUCAACACCCAGCCACUUUACCGAAGGGAAUGUUUUUCAUUUGCGGGGACAGAAUUUGGCCUGCUAUCCCUGCAAAAAUCAAGGGUGGUCCAUGCAGCAUCGGGGAACUCUCAUUGUUAACACCUGAUUUGAAAACUUUACAAAAGCAGACACACAGGGAAAAAAGAUCCCUUGAACAAUAUAGUCCAAAUUGUGAUGAUGAUGUUUCUACCUGGAACAAGGCUCAGAGAAUUGCAAUAGCAAUUUUCUCACCCCAAACAGCAUCAGGGGUGGCCUUGACACAAUUGGAUCAUAUAGCGUGUUGGUUGAGGAAACACAGCCGUGCCAUUUCGUUUGCACUGAGUGACAUGUUAACAGACAUCAACAGUGCAAGGCAAGCAGUGCUUCAAAACAGGGCGGCAAUUGAUUAUUUGCUGCUGACACAUGGGCACGGAUGUGAGGAAUUUGAGGGGAUGUGCUGCAUGAACUUGUCCGAUCAUUCAAAAUCUAUUCAUGAAAAUAUAAAACAAAUACAGAACAGUAUUAGCAAAUUGAACAGAGUUACAGGGUCCUGGUGGGAUAGUUUGUUUAACCUUUUUGAUAUCUCACCAUUGUGGAAAGAACUUUCAAAAAUAGCAUUUUAUAUUCUUAUAGGGCUUGUAGUUCUUCUGCUUGUUCUGCCAUGCAUUUUCGUGUGUAUUCGAAAGACCUUGAACAGCAUGGUAAAGCAGGUGUUUCUGGUUCAAACAGAGAGGGGAGAUGUCGGAACCCAAAAUGUCCCUCAGACAUUUUUAGAGGUUCCAGGCCUUGGUCAGAAGCAUUUUAGACCCUGGCAAGCAGCUGAAAACAGCUGUGAUUUUGAGUUUGAACCAUGGAAUGAAUUACCAACUUUGAGGGUGGAACAAGCAGUCACAGAAUGUUAGAUGGUAUAGUAAAAGUAGUCACAAAUUAGAGGGUAAAAUUUUUUAGUGUUGUACAGGGGGGUUUUAGUACCUGUACAGGGGGGUUUUCACUUUGUACAGGGGGGUCAGGAGUUCUAAGAUGGAUGAAAGUGGUCCUUAUCUUAUUCUUCCUCCUUCUUCUUCCUUACCUCCAUGUUCUUGGUGAUGCUGGCAUUCACAGAUUGGUUUAGAGUAGAAAAGCACAUUGUAACGUAGAUAGUAGGUAUUGGGGAAAAUCUAUAAACAUAUAGUACGUAAUAUAUCAUAUAAAAGAUAGUAGCAGCUUUGGGCGGGGAGAGACGACGAAGACACCGGACAGUGAGGGUGUCAGGAGAGUGUGUACCUCUGCCUGGGCCGCAGACCAAAGCAGCCGCAGCGGGCGAGGACAAUCUUUUAGAUAGCUAGCAAUAAACUACCUUGAGACCGGACAA
rnacentral:lncRNA from 1 species